CUUUUGGAAUCGUGCGGAUUUCAAAAGAGAAUAGGGAAUCGGGUGCAACUCCCGAACGGUACCGCCACUGUAAGCGCGGAGGCGGCCGCACAAGGCGAAAGCCGGUCAUUGGGAUUUUCCUGAGAAGGCGGUGCGGCAGCCGGUGAGGUGCAAAGUCAGGAUAACUGCUAAGGAU
rnacentral:ncRNA from 1 species